rnacentral:rRNA from 2 species
UAAUUCUAGAGCUAAUAUUUUAAAAAAUGCCGUGACUCACGAAGCGGCGGAUUUAUUAGAUCAAAAUCAACCUGCCGCAAGGCGGUUAAUUGAUGACUCUGGAUAACUUUACUGAUCGUACGACUUUUAAUGUUGACGACAUAUCUCUUGAAAAGGCUGACCUAUCAACUUUCGAUGGUAAGAUCAAAGCUUACCAUGGUUGUAACGGGUAACGGGGAAUCAGUGUUCGAUUCCGGAGAGGGAGCCUGAGAAACGGCUACCACAUCUACGGAAGGCAGCAGGCGCGCAAAUUACCCAAUACCGGCUCGGUGAGGUAGUGACAAAAAAUAACAAUGUGAGCCCUAGUGGUUUCAUAAUUGCAAUGAGAACAUUUUAAAUACUUUAUCAAGUAUCAAUUGGAGAAUAUGUUCGAUGCUCUUUAAUGGGUGUUGAUUAUGUUAGGACAAGUUUACUUUGAAAAAAUUAGAGUGCUUAAAGCAGGCUUAUGCUUGUAUAUUGUUGCAUGGAAUAAUGAAAUAAGACUUCGGUUUUAUUUUGUUGGUUUUCGAAACUGAAGUAAUGAUUAAAAGAGACUGCCGGGGGCAUAUGUAUGCUGGUGUGAGAGGUGAAAUUCUAAGAUCGCCAGCAGACAAACUACUGCGAAAGCAUUUGCCAAGAAUGUUUUCAUUAAUCAAGAACGAAAGUCAGAGGAUCGAAGACGAUCAGAUACCGUCCUAGUUCUGACCAUAAACUAUGCCAACUGACAGUUCGCUAAGGAGAUAUUAAUAUCCCUGCGAGAAGUCACCGGGAAACCUAAGUCUAUGGGUUCCGGGGGAAGUAUGGUUGCAAAGCUGAAACUUAAAGGAAUUGACGGAAGGGCACCACCAGGAGUGGAGCCUGCGGCUUAAUUUGACUCAACACGGGAAAUCUCACCCGGUCCGGACACUGUGAGGAUUGACAGAUUGAUAGCUCUUUCUUGAUUCGGUGGGUGGUGGUGCAUGGCCGUUCUUAGUUGGUGGAGCGAUUUGUCUGGUUAAUUCCGAUAACGAACGAGACUCUAACUUGCUAACUAGUACACUUGUGUUUAAAUGCGAGUGCUGACUUCUUAGAAGAAUUUAUAGCGUUUAGCUAAUUGAAAUUGAGCAAUAACAGGUCUGUGAUGCCCUUAGAUGUCCGGGGCCGCACGCGCGCUACAAUGGCAGUAACAGCGAGUAUAUUUAUCCUAGCUAGAAAUGGCCGGGUAAACUUGUGAAACACUGUCGUGUCAGGAAUAGUGGUUUGAAAUUUUUCCACUUGAACGAGGAAUUCCUAGUAAGCGCAAGUCAUUAACUUGCGCUGAUUACGUCCCUGCCCUUUGUACACACCGCCCGUCGCUACU